GUGGAUUUUCCUCUACGAU
rnacentral:miRNA from 1 species